GGAUCUUCACACUGGCACCAAGAUUUUCUCAGGAAGGACAGCUCCCCAGACCAGUCUGGGACACAGGUAAGAUCCUGCUGUAUUUUAUAAAUAAGACAUUCUUCUGAUUUCCUACCCCUACACAUUGGGUGGGUUAUUUGGUAUUUGGUAUUUUGGAUAUGAAUUUGGGAGUCUGGACUUAAAGGUUUAUUUGGUUUUGGAAACUGGCAUUUGGUUUAUUUUUUAUUAUGGGUUUGGAGACCGGAAGAGCACAAGUCU